UAUUUUCUCUCUCCUACUUCAAUUUCUCAGUUCUCAGUUCUCUCUGCUCUCUUUUUCUCUGUUAUUUGCUAUGAUUCUUCUUCAAACUUCAUCAAUUCUUCGUCAAGGUUCCCAACAAUCCACAAGUGGAAACGACUUGUGGAUCUCUAUUAUAUGAACUUCAAGAUUAUAUGGGAUGAGGUUGGUGAAUCUGAAACCGCUCGUGAUAAGAUGUUACUUGAGCUGGAGCAAGAGUGCCUUGAGGUAUACAAGAGAAAAGUUGAUCAGGCUAAUCGCUGCAGAGCUCCGCUAUUGCAGGCUAUUGGUGAUUCUUAGGCGGAGCUAGCCGCCAUUUGUUUUGCAAUGGGUGAGAGGCCAGUCCAUAUUCGACAGACUGAACAAAAAGCUGGAAGCCUAAAGGAAGAGCUAGAUGCUAUUUUUCCACAGCUAGAAGAGAUGCGAAAAAGCAAAGUCGAAAGGAAAAAUCAAUUUGUUGAUGUCAUUGGACAGAUCCAAAAGGUGUCCAGUGAAAUAUAUGGAUUGUUCGGAUAUGAUAGUUACACUGUUGUUAUAGAUGAAAAUGACCUAUCUUUGAGAAGACUUGAAGAAUUGCAAAACAAGAUGCAGUCCCUGGAAAAGGAGAAGAGUGAUCGCCUGAGGCUUGUCACGGAGCACUUGAAUGAUUUGAGUUCAUUGUGUUAUGUCCUUGGGUUGGGAAGGGAACUGUCAGAGAAUGAACUUCAUCCAAGUUUAGCUGAUUCUGAAGAAUCACAUAGCAUAAGUAAUGAAACACUUAAGCAGCUGGAGUCUGCUAUAUUUGAAUAUAAGUUCUUCUUUCUCAGCUUACAUCUAUUAAGUAUUUUUUAGAUUGUGAAUGGGAAAAACUGGAGACCCUUUAUAAUGAGUACAAUGAUUAUUUAUGACCUUUCAAUAAGUUGCUGACAAUCAUGCUUUGCAAAAUCAUCAUUUGAAUAAACUUCGCUACCAUUGUAGUAGCUUGUUUUUCCGACUCAUAAAUGUUCAAUAAGGAUGCAAGUGAACUCAUGCUCUAUUAAACAGGGCUGAUUUAAAUCUUGGUUUUUGUUAUUUAUUUUUUAGGGAAAUAUAUCAUUGGCGCUUGAUUUUCGAAAAGAGCUAUCCAAGUUGCCAGACAUGGAGAGGUUGCUCACGCGCCUCUUUGCUAGCAGUGAAGCUAAUGGACGGAAUGCAAGAAAGAUUGUUCUUUAUGAAGAUGCUGCAAAAAAACAUCUUCAAGAAUUCAUAUAUAUAUCUGCAUUACGUGCUUGUGAAGUAAUGAUUGUGGCAUGCUCUUCUCUUGGUUCCAUCCUGGAUAAUACUGACUCGAAAUUGUUACACCAUCUUUUAGUUCCUGGCAAAGGUCUCCCCAAUAUGAGUUCCAUUAUAAAGCAAUUUAGGGAUGUGUUCGAUUAGGUGGAUGCUAAUAGUACAGGCCGUAUAAUUCCUCUUGAACGAGCUAAUGUCGAAUAUGAUUCUACUAGUAAAAAGAUUGAGGAGAUUGAAUCUGAUUUGAAGAAACAUAUUGUGGAACAAAAAAAGUUACUUGGCAUCACAUCGGUAAUGGCCACUAUUAAUUUAAAAUAUAAACUUUCUCAUCGUA